rnacentral:rRNA from 1 species
UACGGGGGGGGCAAGCGUUGUUCGGAAUUACUGGGCGUAAAGGGCUUGUAGGGGGCCAACUCAGUCAGACGUGAAAUCCCUCGGCUUAACCGGGGAACUGCGUCUGAUACUGGAUGGCUGGAGUGUGGGAGAGGGAUGCGGAAUUCCAGGUGUAGCGGUGAAAUGCGUAGAUAUCUGGAGGAACACCGGUGGCGAAGGCGGCAUCCUGGACCAUUACUGACACUGAAAAGCGAAAGCCAGGGGAGCAAACGGG